UACGAAGGGGGCUAGCGUUGUUCGGAUUUACUGGGCGUAAAGCGCGCGUAGGCGGAUCACUAAGUCAGGGGUGAAAUCCCGAGGCUUAACCUCGGAACUGCCUUUGAUACUGGUGAUCUGGAGAUCGGGAGAGGUUGGUGGAAUUCCGAGUGUAGAGGUGAAAUUCGUAGAUAUUCGGAGGAACACCAGAAGCGAAGGCGGCCAACUGGCCCGAUACUGACGCUGAGGCGCGAAAGCGUGGGGAGCAAACAGG
rnacentral:rRNA from 2 species